rnacentral:rRNA from 1 species
UCUUUCUUGAUUCGGUGGGUGGUGGUGCAUGGCCGUUCUUAGUUGGUGGAGCGAUUUGUCUGGUUAAUUCCGAUAACGAACGAGACUCUAGCCUGCUAACUAGGCGAUUUCCGGUACCCACAAUAGUGUUACCGGCGAUUCAAUUUCUUCUUAGAGGGACAGGCGGCUCCUAGC